rnacentral:rRNA from 1 species
GAUGCUUUAGUGCCUUCGGGAACUCUGAGACAGGUGCUGCAUGGCUGUCGUCAGCUCGUGUUGUGAAAUGUUGGUAAGUCCCGCAACGAGCGCAACCCUUUAUCCUUUGUUGCCAGCACGUAAUGGUGGGAACUCAAAGGAGACUGCCGGUGAUAAACCGGAGGAAGGUGGGGAUGACGUCAAGUCAUCAUGGCCCUUACGAGUAGGGCUACACACGUGCUACAAUGGCGCAUACAAAGAGAAGCGACCUCGCGAGAGCAAGCGGACCUCAUAAAGCGCGUCGUAGUCCGGAUUGGAGUCUGCAACUCGACUCCAUGAAGUCGGAAUCGCUAGUAAUCGUAAAUCAGAAUGUUACGGUGAAUACGUUCCCGGGCCUUGUACACACCGCCCGUCACACCAUGGGAGUGGGUUGCAAAAGAAGUAGAUAGCUUAACCUUCGGGAGGGCGUUUACCACUUUGUGAUUCAUGACUGGGGUGAAGUCGUAACAAGGUAGGCGUAGUGCU